AACGAACGCUGGCGGCAUGCCUAACACGUGCAAGUCGAACGAGACCUUCGGGUCUAGUGGCGCACGGGUGCGUAACGCGUGGGAACCUGCCCUUAGGUUCGGAAUAACUCCCCGAAAGGGGUGCUAAUACCGGAUAAUGUCUUCGGACCAAAGAUUUAUCGCCUUUGGAUGGGCCCGCGUUGGAUUAGCUAGUUGGUAGGGUAAAAGCCUACCAAGGCGACGAUCCAUAGCUGGUCUGAGAGGAUGAUCAGCCACACUGGGACUGAGGCACGGCCCAGACUCCUACGGGAAGCAGCAGUGGGGAAUAUUGGACAAUGGGCGAAAGCCUGAUCCAGCAAUGCCGCGUGAGUGAUGAAGGCCUUAGGGUUGUAAAGCUCUUUUACCCGGGAUGAUAAUGACAGUACCGGGAGAAUAAGCUCCGGCUAACUCCGUG
rnacentral:rRNA from 1 species